UAAUACUCCAUAGAUUAGAGACACUGGAAUGUUCUGUAGUCGAAAGUUCUGGCGCCUUAGGAUGGAUCUGCGGUCGAUUAGGUUGUUGUUGGGGUAACGGCCCAACAAGCCUGUAAUCGAUACGGGUUGUGGGAGCAAGAGCCCGGAGAUGGAAUCUGAGACACGAUUCCAGGCCCUACGGGGCGCAGCAGGCGCGAAAACUUUACAAUGCAGGAAACUGUGAUAAGGGAACUCCGAGUGCCCGUAUACGCGGGCUGUCCAGGUGUUUAAAAAUCAUCUGAAGAAAGGGCCGGGCAAGACCGGUGCCAGCCGCCGCGGUAAUACCGGCGGCUCGAGUGGUGGCCACUAUUAUUGGGCUUAAAGCGUCCGUAGCUGGACCGAUAAGUCUCUUGGGAAAUCCGCCGGCUCAACCGGCGGGCGUCUAAGGGAUACUGUUAGUCUAGGGACCGGGAGAGGUGAGAGGUACUCCGGGGGUAGGAGUGAAAUCCUGUAAUCCCCGGGGGACCACCGAUGGCGAAGGCAUCUCACCAGAACGGCUCCGACAGUGAGGGACGAAAGCUGGGGGAGCGAACCGGAUCAGAUACCCGGGUAGUCCCAGCCGUAAACUAUGCGCGUUAGGUGU
rnacentral:rRNA from 1 species